AGAGAGAUGUAAGUACUUCAGGGCACGAAAGAGAAUCCUGCAAUGGAAGUCUUGCCCACAGGAAAGACAGCGCAGGACCUCACUGCUGUGAAGUACCCUCCUGCUAGCAGCAGUGUGAAACAAGUAGUCAUGAGCCAGCAUGCUUGAGUGAAUUCCUGACGUUAGCGCUGAGCUGGACUUCUGCUUUGUAUGCCUCACUGCUCUGCUCAGGCAGCUCUCUCGGAGGACGGGAGGUGUGGGUAGCGUGAGACAGGACUCGGCUUUGUGUUCAAAACAUCCCCCCCACGCAAACGGCGCUCAGGAGGUGGCUGCUCAUUUGAGUCUCCAAUGUAAAAGUCACAGUCCAAAAAUAACCAAGUGUCACAAUACUAGAAGGGAGGGCAGCGGUGCAAAUCUGGGCUCUUGCUUUGUGCUGCUUUGUUUGGAAGGUGGGUGUGUGGGAGCGGUGAAGAUGGUUUCAGCGAGUCACUUCAGAGAUGAACAACGCCAUGGGGAAACAAAGGAGAAGCUGAUCAUUUCCUUUGCACUGUAACAACUCAAUGGAAGGUAUUAGUAAAGCUCACAGCCUGUACACCUACGGGUUAGGGGUAUGAGUGUGGAGGGUGCUUAAUCCAAAGUGCCGAAAGGAGGGUUUAGUGCUUCUUUUGACUUCAUCACUGCUGUAAGAAGAUGGGUUUGCAUGGCAUGGAUUUGUAUGCAGCAAGAAGGGCUAUGACUGCUCCUCAAUAAAUGCAGAGUAAAUUAAA